GGAUGUGAGGGCGAUCUGGCUGUGACAUCUGUCACCCCAUUGAUCACCAGGGUUGAUUCGGCUGAUCGGGCUGACUAGGUGGGUGUCCACUUUCUCCCUAACCACUCCGUGUGUGUCCCUCCAAAGAGGACAACCAUCCCCGAUGGAAUAGGACCUGUACUUCAGCACUGGAGAA
rnacentral:snRNA from 1 species